GCAGGAAAGAGAAGAAGAGAAGCGUCGAUCGCGGGAGCAGAAACGUCAGCAAGAACAGUUUGUUGCUGAGCAAGAAGCACGUUAUGGUUCUAGACCAACUCUAAAGAAGCCGUUGGGUCAAAGCACCAGUGCUAACACCAUGGCCGAAACACCAAUUGGGCGCCGUCUGGCCACUCCAUGUCUUCAUGCAAUCUCUUCCGGCAAGGAACGUAG
rnacentral:misc_RNA from 1 species